rnacentral:tRNA from 1 species
GCCGCCUUGGCGCAAUUGGUAGCGCAAUGCUCUUGUAAAGCAAAGGUUGCGGGUUCAAGUCCCGCAGGCGGCC